UACGUAGGGGGCAAGCGUUGUCCGGAUUUAUUGGGCGUAAAGCGCGUGUAGGCGGCCAUACAGGUCCGUUGUGAAAACUCGAGGCUUAACCUCGAGACGUCGAUGGAAACCGUAUGGCUAGAGUCCGGAAGAGGAGAGUGGAAUUCCUGGUGUAGCGGUGAAAUGCGCAGAUAUCAGGAAGAACACCCGUGGCGAAGGCGGCUCUCUGAGACGGUACUGACGCUGAGACGCGAAAGCGUGGGGAGCGAACAGG
rnacentral:rRNA from 1 species